rnacentral:rRNA from 1 species
CGCAUCUGUGCAUGCAGCAUAUCAAUAAGCGGAGGAAAAGUCUACCUACGCUUAGGAUGUUGACGCGCGUGUGUGCGUGAGUCUAUACAUGACUCUGUGCAUAUCAAUAAGCGGAGGAAAAGAAACUAACAAGGAUUCCCUUAGUAACGGCGAGUGAAGCGGGAAGAGCUCAAAUUUGAAAUCUUCAAGGUUUUACCUUGACGAAUUGUAGUUUAAAGAAGUGUUUUCUGUUGAAGUUUUGGUAAAAGUUCUUUGGAAUAGGACAUCAUAGAGGGUGAGAAUCCCGUAUUUGACCAUUAUUUUCAGCUGUGUGAUACACUUUCAAAGAGUCGGAUUGUUUGGGAAUGCAGUCCAAAAUGGGUGGUAAAUUUCAUCUAAAGCUAAAUAUUGGCGAGAGACCGAUAGCGAACAAGUACCGUGAGGGAAAGAUGAAAAGAACUUUGAAAGGAGAGUUAAACAGUACGUGAAAUUGUCAAAAGGGAAGCGUCUGACACCAGUGUUGUUUUCUCGAAAAUCAAUUAAAAAGAGGUUAGAUUUUGUGUUGUAUAGACCUUAACAGCUUGCAUUCACUCUUUUCCUAGCUUUUUUUAAUGCACUUUUCGUUUAACAAGUCAACAUCAGUUUCUUUUGUUGUAAAAGGGUCAUUGGAGGGUGGCUUUCUCUUCGGAGAAAGUGUUUAUAGCCUUUGAUCUCUGCAAUCGGAGAGACUGAGGUCUGCAGCGUAGAUCCUUCGGGGUUAGAUACAUUUGUGCUAAGUUAUAGCUUUUUAUAGACAACUUGUUGACUAUGAUUAGUCUUGUAGCUUACUCGCUUAUGCUAUUUUACCUACGCUUAGGAUGUUGACGCGCGUGUGUGCGUG